AUAAAUUUUUUGGUAAACCUGAAAUUGGCUUCUAUGGUUUAGCUCAUUUUCACCUAUGUGGUUAAAAAAGUUUCACUUUAAAAUUUUGAGACUUAAAUUUUAUUUUACCAAAAAAUUCUAUAUGAAUUAGGAUGGCAAAUCAAAAGUUUUUAAUAAACUAUAGGACGGCAAAGUGAAAAAUGUACUAAAUUACAAGAAGGCAAAGUGUAACUUUUUGAACCAUUGGAUAGCAAAGUGAAAAUAAGUUAAAACACAGGAAGGCAAAGUGACAUUAUUUAAAACACAAGAUCACAAACUAGGGGUGCAUUUAACAUUUGAUAUUCUUAAAAUUUAUUUAACAUAGAUGAUCUCAACAUAUAGGAGAUCUCUAUAUAUAGAUUUGUAUACAAUCUCUAAAAUAUUAUAAUUAAAAAAAAGUCUAAUUCUUACGAAAUAUUAUAAUUAAAAAAAUAUAAUUCUUACGCGUCUGCAAAAAUCAGCAAUGUUUGCUUCUAAAGUUUAUUAUAUUAGGUAUAAAACAUUGUAAUUUUCAUAGAUGGAUCUUUUAAUGGUGUAGAUAAUGUUGGUUUGGAUUUAAAUUUU
rnacentral:lncRNA from 1 species